UUCCCCCCAUUCUGAGCUCGUUUUUUCCGAAUCCCCAAUUCGCUUGAACGCACCAAACGUUUAUAUAGCGCAGAAGACUGGCCAGACACAUGCUUGCUCAUUCGAUUAGUCUUGUGAUCGACCUGAAGACGCCUUUCUAAAUGUCGAAGUUAUGGCUUAGAAAUGCUUCAUUGGUGUUUAACGUUAGUUAUUGGUACACUGCUGCCACUUGAGUCUUGCAAUGCUCCUGAACUGGUCAUUAACUCCCAAGUAGCUAGAUUGGUAGUUGUGGAGGGUUUGGGCCUUGCAGAACCAUGCACGUGGGGAACUGGAGAAACGUAAAACCAUUCCGGGGUUCUAGAUUCGGGAGCCCACUCCUUCUGGACCUGGCCAGGGCGGUAUGAACUGGAGCAUACCCCAUUGACUGCACAUAGCUGGAGUGACACCGCCCCAAUGAGUUGAGGACUAGAAGACUCAAGGUGUUAAACCACCCCAAUGGGUUGAUGGCAAGUGGUAAGGUGGUGUCCCUUUGAAUAACACACCUGCAAGUUCUCCCUGGACUGGACGUCAUUUAGCAGACGCUCUUAUCCAGAGCGACUUCGUCUGUUCGGUUGCCCCUUGCUGAUUCUCAGCUCCCAUCGAUACUUCAGAUUCUCUUCCACGUGGCCGGAGUUUCCAAGAUGGCCGGCGGCUUCCUUUCUUCCUCUGGAAGUGAUCAACUGGAAGGAAGGAGUUGUUGUGUGGUAGCCCAUAUGGGACUCACCUGGGACAUGGAUGCCUGAAGACCUAAGGCUCAACAUUGUUAAUAAAUAUCACCUGGGAGUAUGAGCAGCUGUGUGCAGUGGUUUCCUUUGUCUUUUCCAUGUGUGUUCUGCUUUGUUUAUUUUGAGGUUUUGCUGACUAAUGGUGUUUGUCUGUGACUAUAGAAAAGACGGUCAAUUCUUUUUAUCUUCAAUAAAUCUGUUUUAACCAUG